AAGGAUAUUCUCAUCAAACACAGAUGACACUUUUGUUCAUCACCAAUGCGUUCAGCUUAAUAAAUAUCUGCAAGUUCUCUUGUCAAUUGCUAAUGUUGCUGAACAGCAUGAAGUAUGGGAUUUUUUGAGUGUUUCCUCAAAGAAUUAUGCUUUCGGAAAAGCUUCCUCAGUGAUGAGAACCCUGGCAGGUAUGUGGUUUUUGCUUCACCCUAACUGUUCCUGUGUCUAGGUUGUAAUCAUUUUUUAUGUGGUGGUAUGCAAAUGUAUGCUGAUGGUAUUAUCUGUUAUGUCUCUGAAUUGCUUGUUUUAUUGUGUAAGUGGACAUUGUCUUAUCUAUGCUCUUUGUGGGUUUCGCAGAUUUCUGUCUCUCUUUGUAUGAGUUAUAUGCGUUUAGAUUGGCCUUGUGAAGGAUUGG